CGUGGAUAACCUACCCUGGUGUCUGGGAUAACAUCUCGAAAGGGGUGCUAAUACCGGAUAAGCCCACGGGAUCUUCGGAUUUUGCGGGAAAAGGUGGCCUCUAUUUAUAAGCUACCGUAUCAGGAUGGGUCCGCGUACCAUUAGCUAGUUGGUGGGGUAAUGGCCUACCAAGGCUACGAUGGUUAGCUGGUCUGAGAGGAUGAUCAGCCACACUGGAACUGAGACACGGUCCAG
rnacentral:rRNA from 1 species